CCUACGGGAGGCAGCAGUGAGGAAUAUUGGUCAAUGGACGAGAGUCUGAACCAGCCAAGUAGCGUGAAGGAUGACUGCCCUAUGGGUUGUAAACUUCUUUUAUAUGGGAAUAAAACAGGGUAUGCAUACCAUCUUGUAUGUACCAUAUGAAUAAGGAUCGGCUAACUCCGUGCCAGCAGCCGCGGUAAUACGGAGGAUCCGAGCGUUAUCCGGAUUUAUUGGGUUUAAAGGGAGCGUAGGUGGAUUGUUAAGGCCGUUGUGAAAGUUUGCGGCUCAACCGUAAAAUUGCAGUUGAAACUGGCAGUCUUGAGUACAGUAGAGGUGGGCGGAAUGCGUGGUGUAGCGGUGCAAUGCUUAGAUAUCACGAAGAACUCCGAUUGCGAAGGCAGCUCACUGGACUGCAACUGACACUGAUGCUCGAAAGUGUGGGUAUCAAACAGGAUUAGAUACCCUGGUAGUC
rnacentral:rRNA from 1 species